rnacentral:siRNA from 1 species
UUAGGCGAGAAAUUGUAAUGUGU